ACCCGGAUGGCGAAAUCGGUAGACGCGAGGGACUUAAAAUCCCUGGAUCGCAAGGUCGUGUGGGUUCGAGUCCCACUCCGGGUA
rnacentral:tRNA from 1 species